GUCCACGCCCUAAACGAUGUCAACUGGGUGUUGGGGAAGUGAUUCCUUGGUACCGUAGCUAACGCGUGAAGUUGACCGCCUGGGGAGUACGGCCGCAAGGUUAAAACUCAAAGGAAUUGACGGGGACCCGCACAAGCGGUGGAUGAUGUGGAUUAAUUCGAUGCAACGCGAACAACCUUACCUACCCUUGACAUGUCCGGAAGCCUGGUGAGAGCUGGGUGUGCCCGAAAGGGAAUCGGAACACAGGUGCUGCAUGGCUGUCGU
rnacentral:rRNA from 1 species